GAUUCGAUGGCGGAUGGUCCGCGUCUGCGUCUGCUAUUAGUAACCGAAUUCGAUUAAAGCAGAAGGAUUCCCGUUCGAUUCGGGCUCGAGUCA